GAAAUUUAUAGUUUUAAGAAACACACGCAGCAAAUACGGAUAACAAAUAAGAGAAACAGCAACAAAUAUGAGAAGGGAAACAGAGAAAGUGAAAAUGACAAGAAAACUAUAUGAGAAACAAUGAAAGUGAGCGGGUAAAUAUUCCGAAAGUACCGGGUUGGUCGAAAAUGAGUGGGGAAAAAAAACUGUCCAAAAGAAGCCCGCCGAAAAACUGUCGUCGGCGGCGCGUGCGUCGGUUUCCGGCGACGAAACUCGCAAGGAUUGUGCGCCUGACGGUGUAUGUCUCGGUGGUGUAGGAGGUGUCGAAGAAAGACCACCGUGAGAGACCACUGUUAACGAUUCCGAGGAGAGAGAGAGGGGUACUUACGUGUGGCAGUUGUGUACAAUAUCAACAGCUAGACCCCAAUCCAAAAAAGUAGAGCUCAGCUAUUUGAAUACUCAUUGGCCAUCUCAGUCCAUUUAAGCUCUUCUCAAAACUAGGCAAUUGAGAAGGCGCCUAGGCUAGAUUUUUUUUCCCUCGGUUUUACACCAGGGCUGCUAUUACAUCCGACUGGUUAGAAGCUAGAUAGAAGCAUUCAAUGGCUUCUGUAUGCAGUAAUCUAAUCAGUU
rnacentral:lncRNA from 1 species